rnacentral:rRNA from 1 species
UACGUAUGGUGCAAGCGUUAUCCGGAUUUACUGGGCGUAAAGGGAGCGCAGGCGGCGCGCCAAGUCUGAUGUGAAACCCCGGGGCUCAACCCCGGGCAUGCAUUGGAAACUGGCGGGCUGGAGUGCCGGAGAGGUAAGCGGAAUUCCUAGUGUAGCGGUGAAAUGCGUAGAUAUUAGGAGGAACACCAGUGGCGAAGGCGGCUUACUGGACGGCAACUGACGCUGAGGCUCGAAAGCGUGGGGAGCAAGCAGG